rnacentral:rRNA from 1 species
GGGAGGGCUGAGAUGCGGAGGGAUAUUAAAGAAAUUUAAUUGAUUUGUGUGAGUCGGAGAGAGAAUGUGUGGGGAGGACAGUGUAGAACUCAGGAGGUGCUAAAAUAUUUUUUGUGGUGUGAAUGGUAUUUGUCUGGGUGGGGUUAAGUGGGGGGUUGGUGGGUGUUGUGGAGUGGGGGGAGGGAGGCGACAAGACUGGGAGUGUGGGUGGAUCUCUCUAUUGAAAGGAGGUGUUUUAUCACACGACGCGACACUUUUAAUUACUAACACAGUGGAGUUUACUUUACUAUAUUCUUUUGUUCGUUGGGGGAAAGCUCUCUUUCGGGGGGGAGUUCUCCCAGUGGAUGCAAACACAAACAAAUAUUUUUUAUUUUAACUAAUUGAGUGAAGACAAGAUUUGUUUUAGUAGAAAACAACUUGAAAACUUUCAACAUGGAGCGCUUGGUUGCGCGGAGCGAUGAAGAACGCAGCGAAAUGCGAUAGCGUAAUGUGAAUUGCAGAAUUGGCGUGAAUGAUGCGAAUGCUUUGAAGCGCACAUUGCGGGGUGCUGGUAUUGGCGGGGGGCAUGCCUGUUUGAGCGUGAUUUGGCUUGCUGCAAACGCGUUGUGUUUGGUAGUGAGUGAUACUGCGCGUUUUUGAGUUAAGCUUGAAAUUGUAGGCCAUAUGAGUAUGUGGGACGCGAGCGCAAGCUUGCUGUAUUAAGCUGGUGGUGCGUUUGCGCGAGCGGCGGGGGUUAAUAGCUGUAUUAGGUUUUGCGCAAGCGGCGGUGUUGAUGCUAGGGAGGGAUUAGUGAGUGUUUUGUGCGUGCUGGGCAGACAGAGCGUCUUUAAGUUUGAGCGAAAUGAGGUAGGGUUACGCCGCUGAAGUUAAGGAUAUGAAUUAAGGGGGAAGGAAACC